rnacentral:misc_RNA from 1 species
GAAAUGCGAUAAGUAGUGUGAAUUGCAGAAUUCAGUGAAUCAUCGAAUCUUUGAACGCACAUUGCGCCCCUUGGUAUUCCAUGGGGCAUGCCUGUUCGAGCGUCAUUUGUACCCUCAAGCUCUGCUUGGUGUUGGGUGUUUGUCCCCGUCUCCGCGCGUGGACUCGCCCCAAAGUGAUUGGCAGCCGGCGUACUGGUCCCGGAGCGCAGCACAUGUCGCGCAAACGAGUGCCUUGGUACGGCGGCGUCCAUAAGCCCCUCUCUCACGCUCUUGACCUCGGAUCAGGCAGGGAUACGCGCUGAACUUAAGC